rnacentral:lncRNA from 1 species
CUCUGAUUUUUUUUCAGCCAAAAAUCUCUCGUCGAUGUCACUUAAGCUGCUCCAUGAGAAUCUCGUCUCUGGCAGGUGAAUUCUGUUCUCACUUUCUCUGCUGCCCGUGUGGAUACGCGCAAUUUGAGAUUAUUUUUAGUUUCCAUUUUUACCGUCUUGAUCAUUCAGUAUUGAUAUUCUUUUUGUUUUUUUUUUUGUAGUUAGUUUAGUUCAUAAACAUAAUUAAUGUGAAAAUUUACUGUUAAUCAAGUUUUAGAUGUUUCUGCUUAGAAAUGGUAAUGCAAUUAAUCUAUAAAAACAAUCCAGCUUACUUCUUAUAUAUUUUCUCAUUCUUUUUUACGUGGAUGAAAUUUGAUGUCGCUUGUGUUUAUUCUAGUUUGAGAAAUUGUUGGCAAAUAAUUGAUCACAAAUUCUGAUUUAUUACUUUUCGUGUAGAUUUUAAACUGAAGAGCGAGCUUAUCGUUACAAUUAAAUGAUAUAUUUAAAAAACAUUUGAAUUAGCAGUAGUUGGUAAUAUUAUAUCCAAGGCAAUAGAGAAAGACGCUUAAAAAAUUUCAGCAGUUUCUCAGUGGGGAGGGAAAUCACACAAGAAGAAAAAUGGAGAUGGAAGUAUGAUAGUCAUGAUCGGUAUUAGGAACUUGGUUUGGAAGUUGAUGCUUGAUUCCCUAAAUAGAAUGCACAAUGCAGUGGAAAUUUUUGUGCCUAAUUGUUUCCCUAGCAAUCAAAUGCCUGUUUUUGUACCUAUCUCAAACUUACUACAAGGAGUGGUUUCAUAGCACUCAUUUUCAAGUCAUCUUGUAAAUAGAAAAGGAAAAAAUAUAAGAGAAAAAUAAGAAUGGCGAGUCGUGCCACAUGGGUUUGAUAAUGGUUAAGAUGGAACUAGGCAAGCUAACUUGCUAUUAAACCUAUCCUACACGUGGUUCAGUCUCCAAUUCGAAAGAUAAACAUGUAAUCCUUUUCCAUUUUGACUAUACACACAAGAAAAUUUUAUGAUACUUAUUCGGAAACAAAUUCCCAAGCACAUUCAAAAACUGUAGAAACUUUUUUUUUAUUUCUAUUAGUGGUAAAUACCUUGUAAACAAAGCAAUUCCUUGUGAUGCAUGAUAAUCUGAUGAACCUUAAACCAAAAGCCCAAAUAUGCCGGAGCAGAUGUCAGCUAUGUGAAGAAGCAUAAUGAGGAGUUUGACACUGAAAUUUUGUUUGUAAAUUAAACCUAUAUAGAACAUCAUAGAAUUCUAAGAAAAAUUGUUUGGAUAUCUGGUGAAGACAACAUGGUAAUAGACAAAUCUGACAUAAGAAUCUAGUGGAACUCAGUGUAGCAUAUUAGUCAUUGGUUCCGAUCUGAGCUACCAAUUAAUUUUACUAGUUUGUGGAUUGGUGACCCUGAGAUUUAAGAUUCGACAGAUGUGAUUCAUUCUUUUUCUUUUGCAUAGAAAUGAUAAACCUGGUUCCUUCUCAUGAGAGAAGGGGUACACCACAUCCUCCUGUUUUCUUCUUCUGUAGAGUUUUUGCCUCUUUGGUACUUAUUCCAUGCAUUGGAGACUUGUGCCCUCUUCCAAAAGGUGGGACACAGAUUAACUGUCGUAUUAGUGUCAAAUAUGGGUAUUGCAACCCAAUUGUCAUAUUGACCCGGUCCAAAUUAAUAUGAUAGUACAAUUACCUUUUCCCUUUAUAACAGAAUCAAAAGAGUUAGACCAGUUAGUUCCUUAUCCAAGAAAAUAAUGCUUCAAGACAUAUUUUAAUCUGCUGGCUGUUGAGAGAGUCUGUCAAUUUCGAUACUAUUAAAUAAUAAUAUGUAGCGAUGGAUGUUUAAUUCAGGAAUUAUUAAGCAUUGCUUCUUGUUUAUGGGCAUUUGAGUGGGUGGGUACAUACUGCUGAUAGAGGUUUCCUUAUCAAGCACUUUUUGGUUCAUUCUGUGCGUUGUAGCUCUUUUCAUAUCUCAACCAUUAUCUGCUCUUCCCUGUUUAAUCUCAUAGACAUUAAAUGUGGAUAUAGGAGGCCUUAAGUGUCAUAUAUUUUUGCCUUUGCAGACAAUAUUCCUCCAAUUCUCAAAAUACCCAGUGCUGUUUGACAAAUGGUGGAUUCUUUAAGUGUUGUGACAUUUACCCCUUCUUUCUUGUUAAAUGCAUUUGAUGAGUGUUGACUUCCCUUCAUUUUGAGCGCUGAUAACCCAAAAAUUUCCUCUAAUACCCUUCAUGAAUGCAAACAAGUUCUCUGCAUCUGCCCCCAGGGCACAUCUCCAAGUGGUAAAAGGGGAGGGUGGGGAAAUCCAACUUUGCUUGAGGCUGCUGCGUCAAGGAUUCGAAUCCUGAAAUAUGGAUUUGGCUCUUGAGUAAGUGCAAGUGUACAAGCAGCCUUCCACCCUGUACCUUUAGAGGCAUAACCUGCGAUUUACCUCCCUCACGAUGCUCCAGGACAGGGGUGUUGGGGAACCCUUAAGGUUAGGGUUUAACCUUUUUUUAAGUUCUCUGCAUCUAAAUCCUUACAAGCACUAACCAUAUAAAUCUCACCUCUCUUAGGUUCUCCAUUUCUUUGUACGGUUACUAACCCAUCUAUAUAACCUUGUAGGCGAAAUCAAAGAAGGAAGAAGAUCAACCUUUGUACAUUUUAGUAAGGUUUAAGCCAUCUUUCCUUCUUUCCAGCACUUUACAAGAACUUCGUUGCAUGUUUUCAAAAUGAACCAGCAAAAUCAUCACAAUCAACCUCCAUAACCACUAAUGUAGCAUCUGCAUUCCCCGUGGGCAUCAUCAACCUCAUAAUAAUCAAGCGAUAAAAAUCAAAACUGGUAUCAAAUUUAUAGUAGCCUGAUUUUUCAACUGGCCAUGAUUUCUCAAAGAAUGACACUGUGCACAAACCAUCAACUCUUCGUUCGAGCCUCCUAGUUAUUUUUUUCCCUCUGUCCUAAACACCCUCUUCUUUUUGCUUUCUGAAAUGUCUCCUCUGUAAUGUUACCGAACCCAACUCCAGCUGGAUCAAAACCAUCCAUCUCCUUCAACUAAUCAUUAUCUUCAUCUUCCACCUCAUAUUCCCAUUCUUCUAAUACCAACUAAUCCCAUCAUUUUUAUUUUCUCUCAAUUUCUUCCUCAAUAUUAUCCGUAAACUCAUUAUCAUCUUAUUCAAACUUAAUAAAUUUAUUAUUGAAUAAGUCCUCUGUAUACUCCAUCGUCCCCCAAAUUUGUUACUACCAUUUUUUUCUUCUUGUAAUACCUAGGGAGAUUUGGAUCUUCAUCUUGCAUGAACAAUGCACAAACAGGGCAUAUACGCUCCUCAUCUCUUCUGUCAUUGAAAAUCAAACUUUUAUCAUUUUUUUUUUUGAAACCCUUCCAUUCUUUUUCGCACAUUUCUAAACAGUUGCUUCACUACCUUUUACACAUAAGGCAAUGCACUCUUUCUUACAUUUAGCCCUGCAGAUGAGUAAUUUGACAAGUGAGUUUUACGCGAGGUGCAAGAAGAUGAUAGAAAUUAGGGAGAAGAAGAAGAUUUACUGUACCAAGCUGAAAGCUAGAUAAAGGGUUUGCUUCAAUAUUUCUGAGAAUAUUUACCGUACCAAGCUGAAAGCUAGAUAAAGGGUUUGCUUCAAUAUUUCUGUCUAACAAAAAAUAUAAUUUCAUUGUGACAAUUGUUGUUCAUAGAGAGGCUGUUGACAACUUUAGCCAAAAAAUCUUUGGAAAAUUGUAAAACUAACUUUUACAUUUUUUUGAUCGUGGAUAAAAUAAAAAGUACUUUUAUUGUAAAUAAAUAAAUAAAUUCUACUCUAAAUAAAUAUUUCAACUUAGAUUAUAUUCCCACGAUCCAAUAACCUACACACUGUCAAUAAAAUCAGGCAAGCUAAUGAAAUAACGAAUAAAGAUUGAAUUUAGAUAAAUGAACUACGCUCUUGUAGGUUUUAAAACAUACAUAAAAAAAAAAAAAAACCAGAAAAGGAUAUGGAAACAAACUCCAAAAACACAACGAACAAACUCCAAAAUAGUUGACAACAAUAAAGAACAGGAUAACUAGAAACACCUUUAAAAUCCACAUAGAGAGAGAUAUUUGAAUAUUGAAUAUUAAUGGUAGCAAUUGAUGCCUCUUAGGAAAAUUCUAAGUCUACCGAAAAUUGUUUACAGAAUUUAUACAGGGAGGUCUUCCUGUGAUUGACUGUCUCUCCUUUCUAUAAAAAAAGGGGUAAAUUAGAUCGAAUUUCUCAACCUUCCAGUUAAAUUAUGCCAUCGUCUCCUUUCAAAAGUUUUGCGCAGUUUAUCUUUUCUGCUCCACUUUCAUAACACAUAAGUACUGUUGCUUAGUUAUAAACUAGCAAUGUUGUUUUUAUUAAAGAUUAUAAUCUUUACUCCUUAAUUUUAUUUGCAUUUCUUUGGUCAUUUUUUUUAAUAACGUAUACUUUUUAAAGUAGUUCCUAUUGAUUGUCUGGACCUGAUAAAUGUCCUUUUUUGAUUUUUUAGUUAAGCCACUCUAGAUGGCACGCUUUAUCAAUAGCAAAAUAAAUAAAGUACAACUUAAGAUGGAGCUUUGCCUGACAUCUUAACUAAUUAAAACAGGGGUUCACGAUGGUCAUACUUCUUAUCAUGUAUAAAAUCGUAGUGGUUCACCUUUCAUAUUCUGUGCUAGAUGGUGAAUGUGUGAAAUUAUGGCCAUAUCGAAAAUUCGAAAUAUCCAUUUGCAUCAUCUACUUCACCAUUGACAUAACCAAAGACAUCUCCAUCAUGAUUACUAAUAUUCCACCAUUACUUCCAGUUUUAGGGUUUCUUUUGAUAUAUCUAUGGAAAGAGAAUACGACAAACACGAGCACCUGAUGCUUCUGCAUUCUGUGGUUGGUGCUGUGAUGUUGUUUGCUAAAUAAUUUAUUAUGUAUAAAUGAAAACCGUUCUAUUGGGGGGGGGGGGGGGGGGGGGGACUCUUCAAUAGGAUUAAGAAGAAUCCCGAUUUGAAUUCUUGAAAAAUCGGUGUAGAUUUAUGUAAAACUUCCGUAUUGUGUUCUACAGGAUUUGGCCAUUUCUUUGAGUCUCUUGAUUUUUGCAAGCCAUCGGAAGACUAGAAUAUAUGCUAUAAAAGGAUUUGCAAUGAUUACUUUGUGUACGGAGUGUUACAAUCAUUCACUUUUUCUCUACUAAACAAUAAAAGCAUGUGGCUGGCUUGGGUAAUACAAGACAGUUUACAAAGAAAAAAAGAUUAAAUUUUGAACAAAUAUACUGUCAAAUACUAUGUACCAAAUAUGUACUAAGAAGACAUUAUUCUAAAAGUAGGUUGAUUCUUAGAAGAUGGAUAAAGGAAUAGAAGUUGAAAGGAAAUAUGAUCGUUGCUUAAUGUUGUUUGACUUGAUCACAAAUCGGAAGAAUUAGAAAUGUGCAAGUCUAUCCGCUUCAUUUGGGAUGAUAUAAUUUAGUCUCUCUGUAUGUUGAAUAAGGGAAAGUUCAUCCCAGCGUAUCCAUAGCGAGCAUGGAGUUGAGGAUAUAGCUUAAGAAAAUUUAACACAUUUAACGCACUAACAUUUCCUUCAAAAUAACAUAGUUUGUGCAUUGCACGGGUAGAGACUAGUAUACAUACAAAUAUGGGACUACAAUUUGUUUGACCUUCUAGCCUCCACUCACUUUUUGAUAAUUUCCCUUGGUAUAAUAUUUGAAUAUAAGACAAAAUGAUUCUAAAUUAUAUUCUCAUUUUUAAUUUUUCACUUUACAAUAUAUUUUUAUCGCAGUUUUUAUAUUUUAUUCAUCACACUAAUAUUUCACAACUUUUGUUUAGUGACAUACAUAUAUGAUGAUAAAACUCGAGAGAAAACUUUUAUUUUCCUCACAAAUAAUGUACGGUAAAUUGGUCUUUUUAUAGUACAAGAGAAUACAUGGAAAAAAAAAAAUUAAUCUCCUACAAUUCUAAUAAAUCACAAUAUCCUAUCCAUGAUAACAGGAAUAAACGGCAAUUUUUACUCAGUCAAUUAGGGAUUUCGACACUCCCCCUCAAGUCGGAUCAUAGAUGUUAAUCAUAUCCAACUUAAAAAUGAAAUCAUCAAAUUUCUGCCUAUGUAGUCCUUUGGUGAAAACAUAUGCAACCUGUGUUUGUGUAGGAAUAUACGUCAUGCAAAUGGUUCCCUCCUCAACAUUUUCCUUAAUACAGUGUCUAUCCACCUUUACAUGCUUUGUUCCGAUCAUGCUGAAUUGGAUUGAGGGAAAUGUUAAUUUUUGCUUUAUAAUCAUAGUAGAGUUUGAUGGGCAACUUUACUAUGACAUUUAAUUUUUCCAACAGUUUUAUCAACCACAUUACUUCGCAUUGGUCCAAAAUCUUUUACCUCAAAUUCAGUGGUAAGGCUUCUCUUUAGUCUUUCCAUUUCAACUAUAUUUUCACAUGUUAAAAUAAUAUCAUCGACAUAUACUAUUAGAAUCAUUUUAGUACCAUCUUCAAAUGGUCGAAGAAACAUGGUGUGAUCUGAGUGCCCUUGGCGAUAUCUCUGGCUUUUUAGUACUUUCGCAAACCAAUCAAACCAUGCUCUUUGUGACUGCUUGAGUCCAUAAGGACUUUUUUAGCUUGCAUACCUUAUUUCUUUCAUGUACCUUAUAGAAUCCUAACGGUAAUGUCAUGAAUACUUUUUUUUUUCUAAUUCCCCAUUUAAGAAAGCAUUUUUAAUUUCUAGUUGCUGAAGUGGCCAAACCAAAUUUGUAGUUAGUGAUAGAAGAACCCGAAUUGUAUUCAGUUUUACUACUGAUGCAAAUGUAUCUGUGUAGUCAAUGUCGUAAGUUUGUGUGUAUCCUUUUGCAACCAACCGAGUUUUAUACCGUUCUAUUGUCCCAUCGACUUUGUCUUUCAAGUUAAAAAUCCAUUUACAUCCAAUGGGUUUUUUCCCUUUUGACAGAUCCAUCACUUUUCAGGUCUCCUUUUUUUCCCCUAAGCUCGCAUUUCUUGCAAAACCGCUUCUUUCUAUUUUGGAAUUUUCAAGGCUUCCUGAAUAGUUCUUGGGAUCAUUGUACUGUCAAGAUAAGUGGUAAAAGCGUGAAACCCUGUAGUUAAAGCAUUUUAUGACAAGAAUUUUGAAAUAUGAUGUAGAGUACAUGACCGUGUUUGUUUUCUGAGAGCAAUGGGUAAAUCCCUAUCCAAUAUCUCUAAGGUUUUUUGAGGUUCUGAAGCUAUCAUCUAUUUUGACUCUUUUGGUGCUUCAGAUGUGAGAUUCUCCAAGUUAUUUUGUUUUGGCUUUCUUAAAUAAACUAGUAUAUCCUUAUCAUUAUGCAUUUCUACAUCUCCCCCUGUAUUCAAGUUCCCUUCUGGCAUAGUAGAUUCAGAUGGUGGGACAGGUUCAGGAGGGAAGAGACUGAAGUCAAAGAACUGAUCUUCAUGCAGGGUCUCCCCCUGAAGAGAGGUGUUGGUAAAAUAUGGAGUAUUUUAAAAAGAAGUAACUUCAAGACUUAAAAAGAUUUUCUUCGUGGAAGAAUCAUAACAUUUGUAGCCCUUUUGUAUAGGAGAAUAUCUAAUCAAAACACAUUUAACUGCUGGGGGAUCCAAUUUACUUCAGUGAUGAGAGUGAAUAUGAACGAAUGUAGUACGGACAAACACUCUUAGGAGUAGCUUAGAGCUAAGUUCAGAAGUCGGGAAGUAUUUCUUAAAUUUUUAGAUAGGUGUCUUGAAGUUUAGGACACGAUUGGGCAUUGGAUUCAUUAGAUAGGUGGAUGUGAGGAUAGCAACCCCCAUAACAUCUUAGGCAUAUUCAUAGUACACAUUAAGGCACGGGCAACCUCUAGGAGAUGCCUAUUUUUGCAUUCAGCGAUCCCAUUUUGUUGAGUAACUUUGAUGAAUUAUUUCAGGUUUUUGAAGGAAGUCGCCAAUGAUGGUGUUGAAGUAUUCAGUGCCAUUGUCAGUAUGUAAGAUUUGAAGUUGUGUUUGGAAUUGCAAUUGGAUCAUGGAGUGAAAGUUGAUAAACAUGAGACGGACAUCGGAUUUAUCUUUUAGUAGGUAGACCAAACUAAGUCAGGUGUGAUCAUCGAUAAAAGUGAAACCAUUUUGUGCGAGUACUAUUCGGGACUCGUGAGGGUCCCCAUACAUCGCUAGGAAUCAUGGUGAAUGAUUUUGAUGGUUUGUAUGUGGAUUAUGGAAAUGAUGUGCGUUGAUGUUUUGCAAGUUCACAGAUUUCACAUUGAAAAUUAACUUGCUUUUUAUUCUUGAAAAUAGAGGGC